rnacentral:rRNA from 1 species
GACGAACGCUGGCGGCGUGCUUAACACAUGCAAGUCGAACGGAAAGGCCCUUCUUUUGUGGGGUGCUCGAGUGGCGAACGGGUGAGUAACACGUGAGUAACCUGCCCUUGACUUUGGGAUAACUUCAGGAAACUGGGGCUAAUACCGGAUAGGAGCUCCUGCUGCAUGGUGGGGGUUGGAAAGUUUCGGCGGUUGGGGAUGGACUCGCGGCUUAUCAGCUUGUUGGUGGGGUAGUGGCUUACCAAGGCGUUGACGGGUAGCCGGCCUGAGAGGGUGACCGGCCACAUUGGGACUGAGAUACGGCCCAGACUCCUACGGGAGGCAGCAGUGGGGAAUAUUGCACAAUGGGCGGAAGCCUGAUGCAGCAACGCCGCGUGCGGGAUGACGGCCUUCGGGUUGUAAACCGCUUUCGCCUGUGACGAAGCGUGAGUGACGGUAACGGGUAAAGAAGCACCGGCUAACUACGUG